CUUUUAGUUUGAAAUGAACUGCUGCAGGAUUGCUAAAGGAAGCUAAAUGUGUGAGAGUGGACAUGUACUACACAUUACAUUACCAAAAAGUGGUAAAUAUUCGUUUCCCCUCUACUGUAUGUUUUUAAUUUACAAAAAAUAGUUUCUUGUUUUACUGUGGGAUGGGACAAACCAGCUAAUGUAAAUUUGGUUGUACCAAAUGUAAUGUGCUUUUUUUUCCUUCUACAGGAUGUUACUUAAUGGUGUGUACUUAGACGUUCUGCUGUUGUAUUGCUAUUGCUAGUAAAACAACAUAAAACAAUGUUCAUUUCAGAAA